CCUUACCGUCCCCCAUCCUCUCUCUCUCUUGAUCUCUCGCCUUGCCCUCCCCAGCUCUCUCUCUCUCUUGAUCAGAAAAAAUGCCAAAAUGCCAGGCAAAAAUGGAAGUGCUCUUCUGCAUAAGGAAUAUUUUCUUUUUUUGGUGAGAUUUAGAUAGCUUUAUUUGGAUAGACACCUUUAGUUUUUACCUCGAGAAAACCCUAAUUUUCACGUUCAUGUGAUCCCAGCUAUGGAGAUCUCCGAUCACACCAGGAAUUCUGAAAAUGCCACCCAUCGAGUGCAGUUUAUGAUAUCUUGUGAACAUAGAAAAGAAGUAACAAAUAAGAGAUCACCUUCUCCCAAAUAGAAGCAAUCGUCUCCAAGUAAGGCAUUCAAUUUAUGAUACCUUGGUCACAUACAAAUAUGUGAUGUUCCCUUUAUAAAAACCUGGGAUUUUUUUGUUGCCACCAAAGGCUAUGUAGGUAACUUAUUGCUCCAAUGAAUUUCAUUUUCAUUUUUCAGUUUAUAUCUUGUCUUGAAUUAGGUUUCUGUCACAAAGUUCUUUCAUGGCUUGAUUUCUUUUGAAUUCGUGAUGUUCCCUAGAAGGGCUUGGCCUUAUAUAUUCAAUAAUGAUUAUUUUCAA